GGCUUCCCAAGCGAGGCCGCGGAUGAAAAGGGAAUCGGGUGAAAGUCCCGGACAGUCCCGCUGCUGUGAGCUCCAUGAAAAGAGGUUUGCUUAUCUACUUCUUCAGCCACUGCCCUGAACUUGUUUUUAGAGGGUGGGAAGGCAAAGCAAACCGGAGUAAGUCAGAAGACCUGCAAA
rnacentral:ncRNA from 1 species